UGUCUGGAAGUCCGCUCCUCGCCAGAAGCUGUCAGCAUUUGGCUUCAUGGUGUUUUCAAACCACUUCAAAUCGAUUGUGAUCGUGAGCAAGAAAGACGCGCUUCAGUUUCUGCUGGAUAAAGUGAGGACUUGUCUCAGCUCCAUGAAGACAUGAUGUGGAACCAGAGGACGAUGGACGUCCAUCGUAUAUUUUAUUCUCCUUUGGGGGCAGCUGCUCACAGGAUGCUGCGAGUCCACCACCUAUAAACUCCAUUAGAGGACCACGAUUUGGAUGAAACUGGGACUCAAAUUCUGCAGCAACAUCCCAACACUGGAUACCAAAUGGAGGUUGGGCCUUGAAUGCACCACACACACGUAUACAAGCUCUCAAUGGCUGCUGUCUUCGUCAUAACGGCAUGAAGAGGAUCCCACCGCAUUGUAGGGGUAAUCUCCCUACAACUAUUUUCUUUUUGUUUAAAUCGGUUUAAAACCCCCCAACAACUGACUUGUAGUUAAGUAUUUCAAGAUUUGAAUUCCAUAAUGUUUUUUUCACCUGAGGUUUUACUUUGACGUUAAGACAAACUGAACUGUGGUCCGACCGCUGCCCAAUUUCACACUCCAUAGCUCUAUAGAUGUCCUAUUUAUUCAUAAAGUAGUCAAUUCUAGCAUAUCGUGUGUGUGUGUGUGUGUGUGUGUGUGUGUGUGUGUGUGUGUGUGUUGUAGCUCGCACCAAAUAUCAACUGUACCAAAUUCUUUGAAUAUGGUAUUAAUUGUUUUCAUGACAUGAUUAGGGUUUGAUGGUUUGUGUCUGGACCACCAUUCAUGUCAAUGUCCAAGUCACUUCCACGUAUUGCUAUUUUCGCGGUUGGUCUCCUGUUUUACUUAUUUUAGAAAAAUAAAGUCUCUACGUGCAAGUAAACAGCAUUGCGUCUCACACCAUCUCAUU